ACGGGAGGCAGCAGUGAGGAAUAUUGGUCAAUGGGCGAGAGCCUGAACCAGCCAUGUCGCGUGGAGGAAUAAGGAUCUAUGGUUCGUAAACUCCUUUUGCGGGGGGAUAAAGUGCGGGACGCGUCCCGUUUUGUAGGUACCCCGCGAAUAAGCAUCGGCUAACUCCGUGCCAGCAGCCGCGGUAAUACGGAGGAUGCGAGCGUUAUCCGGAUUUAUUGGGUUUAAAGGGUGCGCAGGCGGCACGUUAAGUCAGCGGUGAAAUGUCGGGGCUCAACCCGGGCACUGCCGUUGAAACUGGCGAGCUUGAGUACGGAUGAAGUCGGCGGAAUGUGAUGUGUAGCGGUGAAAUGCUUAGAUAUGUCACAGAACACCGAUUGCGAAGGCAGCUGACUAAUCCGCAACUGACGCUCAGGCACGAAAGCGUGGGGAUCGAACAGGAUUAGAUACCCUGGUA
rnacentral:rRNA from 1 species